rnacentral:rRNA from 1 species
UAGCGGAGGAAAGAACCAACAGGGAUUGCCCUAGUAACGGCGAGUGAAGCGGCAACAGCUCAAAUUUGAAAUCUGGCCCUCGGGUCCGAGUUGUAAUUUGUAGAGGAUGCUUUUGGCGCGGUGCCUUCCGAGUUCCCUGGAACGGGACGCCAUAGAGGGUGAGAGCCCCGUCUGGUUGGACACCAAGCCUCUGUAAAGCUCCUUCGACGAGUCGAGUAGUUUGGGAAUGCUGCUCUAAAUGGGAGGUAUAUGUCUUCUAAAGCUAAAUAUUGGCCAGAGACCGAUAGCGCACAAGUAGAGUGAUCGAAAGAUGAAAAGCACUUUGAAAAGAGAGUUAAAUAGCACGUGAAAUUGUUGAAAGGGAAGCGCUUAUGACCAGACUUGGGCUUGGCUGAUCAUCCCGCGUUCUCGCGGGUGCACUCUUCCAGCUCAGGCCAGCAUCAGUUCGUCGCGGGGGAUAAAGGCGUCGGGAAUGUGGCCUCCCUCGGGAGUGUUAUAGCCCUUCGUGUAAUACCCUGCGGUGGACUGAGGACCGCGCUUCGGCAAGGAUGCUGGCGUAAUGGUCAUCAGCGACCCGUCUUGAAACACGGACCAAGGAGUCGUCUUCGUAUGCGAGUGUUCGGGUGUCAAACCCCUACGCGUAAUGAAAGUGAACGCAGGUGAGAGCUUCGGCGCAUCAUCGACCGAUCCUGAUGUUCUCGGAUGGAUUUGAGUAAGAGCAUACGGGGCCGGACCCGAAAGAAGGUGAACUAUGCCUGUAUAGGGUGAAGCCAGAGGAAACUCUGGUGGAGGCUCGCAGCGGUUCUGACGUGCAAAUCGAUCGUCAAAUAUGGGCAGGGGGCGAAAA